CCGUGAAACUGCGAAUGGCUCAUUAAAUCAGUUAUCGUUUAUUUGAUAGUACCUUACUACUUGGAUAACCGUGGUAAUUCUAGAGCUAAUACAUGCUAAAAACCCCGACUUCGGGAGGGGUGUAUUUAUUAGAUAAAAAACCAAUGCCCUUCGGGGCUCUUUGGUGAUUCAUGAUAACUUAACGGAUCGCAUGGCCUUGCGCCGGCGACGGUUCAUUCAAAUUUCUGCCCUAUCAACUUUCGAUGGUAAGGUAUUGGCUUACCAUGGUUUCAACGGGUAACGGGAGAUUAGGGUUUGACUCCGGAGAGGGAGCCUGAGAAACGGCUACCACAUCCAAGGAAGGCAGCAGGCGCGCAAAUUACCCAAUCCCGACACGGGGAGGUAGUGACAAUAAAUACUGAUACAGGGCUCUUUUGGGUCUUGUAAUCGGAAUGAGUACAAUUUAAACCCCUUAACGAGGAACAAUUGGAGGGCAAGUCUGGUGCCAGCAGCCGCGGUAAUUCCAGCUCCAAUAGCGUAUAUUAAAGUUGUUGCAGUUAAAAAGCUCGUAGUUGAACCUUGGGCCUGGCUGGCCGGUCCGCCUCACCGCGUGUACUGGUCCGGCCGGGCCUUUCCUUCUGGAGAGCCGCAUGCCCUUCACUGGGUGUGUCGGGGAACCAGGACUUUUACUUUGAAAAAAUUAGAGUGUUCAAAGCAGGCCUUUGCUCGAAUACGUUAGCAUGGAAUAAUAGAAUAGGACGUGCGGUCCUAUUUUGUUGGUUUCUAGGACCGCCGUAAUGAUUAAUAGGGAUAGUCGGGGGCAUCAGUAUUCAAUUGUCAGAGGUGAAAUUCUUGGAUUUAUUGAAGACUAACUACUGCGAAAGCAUUUGCCAA
rnacentral:rRNA from 1 species